rnacentral:rRNA from 1 species
UACGGGGGGGGCAAGCGUUGUUCGGAAUUACUGGGCGUAAAGCGUGCGCAGGCGGCUUUGCAAGACAGAUGUGAAAUCCCCGGGCUUAACCUGGGAACUGCAUUUGUGACUGCAUGGCUGGAGUGCGGCAGAGGGGGAUGGAAUUCCGCGUGUAGCAGUGAAAUGCGUAGAUAUGUGGAGGAACACCGAUGGCGAAGGCAGCCCCCUGGGUUAACACUGACGCUCAUGCACGAAAGCGUGGGGAGCAAACAGG